AAUAAAUAGAUAAUGCAAAUUAUAAAGUAAUAAAUAAAUUUUAAAUAAAUUACAAAAUGGAGACAACUAGUUUGUUAAUAUAUAACAAAAAUUCAGGAGGUUAUUUAACUCGUUUGAUUUGGAAUAUACUUUUGGCUGAUGGUGAAUUACGUGCAUUUUUUAAUUUAGGAAGAAAUUGUAGUUUUGUUACAAUAUUUAUGAUUGGAUUAAUAAUCAUCAUGGCUGCCUGCACAUUUAUGAGCACGAAAAUUGCAAAUUCAAAUGAAUUUCACAGUCGUUCGCUGCAAAACGAAGCAAACGAGAAAUUGCCAAGAAGGCAAAGUAUUUUAAGGGUGAGACCAGCGUACAAUUGUAUUCACAAACACUUGCAGCAAACGGAGGUUUUUCAAGAAAAGACGAAGCAAACGCUGCACAAGGAGCAUUUGGAGAUUGAGUUGAUGAAGAGUCGAAUAGCUUGCAUGAACAAACUUCUCAGAUCGUAAAGAAAUAUAUUCCCGUUGAAAUUGACGAUGCUAAAAGUAAAAUGAAGAGUAGAAAGUCAAGUUUAUUUUUUAAUUUUCAAUUGCUGGUUAAAAAAUAAAAUAAAAUAGAAUACGAUAAUUUUUAUCUCAAUGGAAAACAGUGCUCGCUAACGAGCGCUAAUAACCCGUGCCCCCACAGCUCAAGAGAAGGAAAAAAUAUAUUUUUAUUUUAUUUAAUCUUUCUCCCUUGGUCGAAAAAAUACACCCUGGAAUUUAGCUGGUUUAAACGAGCACGCCACUUUGAAACAUCGGCUCUAGCAUGUUGGACCUUUUAAAAUGCAAACAAAAUACUCUCGUAUCCCCUAUGUGACGCUAAAGAAAAAAAAUAUAUAUUUUUGAUCAUAGAGUAUACGUUUUUUUUUGUAAUUUAUUUUUAUCCCUUUUAAAUUUUGCAAAUGGAAAUUAUAAAAAUAACACACAAGUGAAAUUGGAAACUAGAUAAAUGUAAAUUAAAAAAAAAUAUAUUCUAAUUAAAAUGAGAUAUGAUUAAUGAGGCCAACAUUGUAUCUCGACAUUGAACAGAUAUUCCGAAAAUGUGUGCAUAAUUUAUGUAAUAUACAGACCAACUUGGUAGUAUCAUUUUUGCAUCACUUUACGACAACGAGUGUUGAACUUUACGAGUUUGAAUUAUUCAAGAAUUUAAAUAUCAUUUAUGUUAUAUAACUUGAAUAUAACGUGCAUGUGAAUGACAUUUAAUACAAAUAUAUUUCUUAAAAUUUUAAAAAAUAAAUAAAUAAA
rnacentral:misc_RNA from 1 species